UUAUUACUUAAUAUACACAUGCAAGCAUCCACCCCCCUGUGAAACGCCCUUCAACCCCUAUUAGGGGCAAGGAGCCGGUAUCAGGCACGAAAAAUCUGCCCAAAACACCUAGCUUUGCCACACCCACAAGGGAAUUCAGCAGUGAUUAACAUUGAAAAUCAGCGCAAGCUUGACUCAGUUAGAGUAAAACAGAGCCGGCCAAUCUGGUGCCAGCCGCCGCGGUUACACCACGUGGCUCAAAUUGACCCCAUCGGCGUAAAGCGUGGUUAAAGUUUUUAUACACUAGAGCUAAACCAAGACCGAGCCGUGACACGCCUGUAAUCAAGAAAAUCAAAAACGAAAGUUACUCUAAUACAAUCAACUUGAAUUCACGACAGCUGGAAAACAAACUGGGAUUAGAUACCCCACUAUGUCCAGCCGUAAACUUUUACUUACACCCUAGAUCGCCGGGGAACUACGAGCUAAGCUUAAAACCCAAUGGACUUGACGGUACCCCAUAUCCACCUAGAGGAGCCUGUCCUAUAAUCGAUAAUCCACGUUAAACCUCACCAUUUUUAGUUAAUCAGCCUGUAUACCUCCGUCGUCAGCUUACCACGUGAGCGCCAAUUAGUGAGCCUAAUGUUAUUUCACCAACACGUCAGGUCAAGGUGCAGCAAAUGAAAUGGGAAGAGAUGGGCUACACUUUCUACGUUAGAAAAUACGAAAAACUACCUAUGAAACCUAGUUAGAAGGCGGAUUUAGCAGUAAAAAGGAAUCAGCACAUCCAUUUUAACCCGGCACUGGGGUGUGUACACACCGCCCGUCACCCUCUUCAAAGCUAUUAACAAAGUUUUUAACUAACAAAAGCACAAUAGAAGAGGCAAGUCGUAACAUGGUAAGUAUACCGGAAGGUGUGCUUGGAAA
rnacentral:ncRNA from 1 species